UAGAGUUUGAUCCUGGCUCAGAUUGAACGCUGGCGGCAUGCCUUACACAUGCAAGUCGAACGGCAGCAUGAUCUAGCUUGCUAGAUUGAUGGCGAGUGGCGAACGGGUGAGUAAUACAUCGGAACGUGCCCUGUAGUGGGGGAUAACUAGUCGAAAGAUUAGCUAAUACCGCAUACGACCUGAGGGUGAAAGUGGGGGACCGCAAGGCCUCAUGCUAUAGGAGCGGCCGAUGUCUGAUUAGCUAGUUGGUGGGGUAAAGGCCCACCAAGGCGACGAUCAGUAGCUGGUCUGAGAGGACGAUCAGCCACACUGGGACUGAGACACGGCCCAGACUCCUACGGGAGGCAGCAGUGGGGAAUUUUGGACAAUGGGCGAAAGCCUGAUCCAGCAAUGCCGCGUGUGUGAAGAAGGCCUUCGGGUUGUAAAGCACUUUUGUCCGGAAAGAAAUGGCUCUGGUUAAUACCUGGGGUCGAUGACGGUACCGGAAGAAUAAGGACCGGCUAACUACGUGCCAGCAGCCGCGGUAAUACGUAGGGUCCAAGCGUUAAUCGGAAUUACUGGGCGUAAAGCGUGCGCAGGCGGUUGUGCAAGACCGAUGUGAAAUCCCCGAGCUUAACUUGGGAAUUGCAUUGGUGACUGCACGGCUAGAGUGUGUCAGAGGGGGGUAGAAUUCCACGUGUAGCAGUGAAAUGCGUAGAGAUGUGGAGGAAUACCGAUGGCGAAGGCAGCCCCCUGGGAUACACUGACGCUCAUGCACGAAGCAUGC
rnacentral:rRNA from 1 species